UACGGGGGGGGCAAGCGUUGUUCGGAAUUACUGGGCGUAAAGGGCUCGUAGGCGGCCAACUAAGUCAGACGUGAAAUCCCUCGGCUUAACCGGGGAACUGCGUCCGAUACUGGAUGACUUGAGUUCGGGAGAGGGAUGCGGAAUUCCAGGUGUAGCGGUGAAAUGCGUAGAUAUCUGGAGGAACACCGGUGGCGAAGGCGGCAUCCUGGACCGACACUGACGCUGAGGAGCGAAAGCCAGGGGAGCAAACGGG
rnacentral:rRNA from 1 species